GAAAUGCGAUAAGUAAUGUGAAUUGCAGAAUUCAGUGAAUCAUCGAAUCUUUGAACGCACAUUGCGCUCGCCAGUAUUCUGGCGAGCAUGCCUGUUCGAGUGUCAUUUCAACCAUCAAGCUCUGCUUGCGUUGGGGAUCCGCGGCUGCCCGCGGUCCCUCAAAAACAGUGGCGGGCUCGCUAGUCACACCGAGCGUAGUAACUCUACAUCGCUAUGGUCGUGCGGCGGGUUCUUGCCGUAAAACCCCCAAUUUCUAAGGUUGACCUCGGAUCAGGUAGGAAUACCCGCUGAACUUAAGC
rnacentral:misc_RNA from 1 species